ensembl:lncRNA
GCCAAGGGGGCGGGCAUGCGCUGUUGUUCAACUCAUUGGCCAGAGCAGUGUCACAUGACUGCCUGCAGAGGGGCGGGAAAUGUCAUGUUUCCAUCUCAUUGGCCAGAGCGGCUUCACCUGACUGCAGACAGAGGGCUGUGAUGUUUUUAAGUAGAAGCAUUGUUGUCCUUGACAAAGUAGAGGCCGUGUUAACAAAAGAGAAAAGGAAGGAUACCAUCUAUCAGAAGUUACCUCAGCAAUUUAAUAACAGCUUCUGAGGGGGAAAGAAAACAGAAAGAAGGAUGAAAUUAAAUGUCUAGAUCAAUUGAAAGAAGCAUCUUCUUUUGGACAGUUUGAAAUGUAUGCCCCAGAAUUGAAGAAAUGCAAUAUUAAUAUCAAAAGGCGGUUUCUAGAUUUCGGAUUCCUGGAAACGCUCCCAGGAACCGCCAAAGAGGAAGAGCAGAAGCAGCGCUGUUCCCGCGAACAGAGUAGAGUUCUAUUCUGCUACCAACUGGCCGAGGGACGCGGGGACGUCCCCUGCUCACUGUCUUCAGUUUUCUGUGGGACAAUGAGCCUCAGGCCUCCUAGCCCUGACUCUGGCAGAAGAGCAAAUUCCUUGGCCUGACCCAGCGGCACGUGCGGGCUCCUGGGGAGGGGCGUGGCCGACCCGGCCUCCCCCAGUGACCUGCACCUCCCCUCAGGCCCAGAGUGAAGAGCAGGGCAGCGGAGGCCACACUGCCAGGACCCUGGGCCUCGGGACGCAGCAGGCCGGGUUCCCAGCCUCCUCCCUGUGCGUUUGCUGGAGUCCUGUACCCACUCUUGGCGCCAGCCUGUCCCCAUCUCUGCCCUCCCCGCCCUGCCAUCCUAGACUGGCUCCCAGGAUGCCUGGAAGGCAGACUCUGGCAGCCUGUGAGUGGGUGGGAGGGAGGGCAGGACCCCAGAGGAGAAGGGAGAAGAAAUCAUGGGCUCCAAGUGGGUGCAUUUACUCCCAUCUGCUCCAGGUUAUCUUUAAAUAGGAUAAAAUUACCCUCUCAGCUCCUUUAUCUCCAUGCAGUACUUCUAAAAAAAGAGCAUCUUGACAUUUUAGGAGGAAAAAAAUAAGGAGAAGAUGAGACAUGUAAUAUCCAGUGUAUACUGAGGAUGGAGAAAUUUCAAUGAACUCAUAGUCAAACCUCCUUAAUGUCUUGAAAAAGAAAACCACACCGGGGUCUGAUGUCGGGAGGGGAGGAGAGUAUUCCAGGAGGAAAGCCCGGCUCCGAGACCUGGGACUCAGGGACAUGGGAAGGAGACUUCGGUCAAGGUCACAGCAACAGGCACUAGAAGCAGAGUGAUGGGUCUUCGAGCUGAUGUGAGACUGCAGGCAGCACGUUCAAGGAGAAAGAGGAUGAACUUGGAAGCAGACACACCUGCCUUCAGAUCCUGGUUCUAUCAUUUGCCAGCCACGUGACCUUGGCAAAUGGCUUCAGUAGAUACAAUAUUGCUAAUUGGAAACAACGAGAAUGACUUUAUACCCUGUAUCUUUUUGAAAUCUCUACGCUCUAAGGAUUAUUUGUAUCCUACGAGAGGCCCAAAGAUGGUCCAAAGAAAAUAACACUGUCCACAAACUACUGGAGCGCCUGCCUGAGAACCGCAGGACUCAGGAUCGUCAGCCUCCCGGGACGCGGUGGCGGGAUGACGGAGUUCUCCUCCAGGUCCCCCGAGAAUGCUGUCCUCGCCCCGCAGGCGUCUUCGCUGCAGGCUGAGUAGGACUCUGAGAUGGUCUUGUGCACGCUGAGCCCAACUGCUGGUCCGUGUCGACUGCAACCUGACUGACAGAGACCAAUAAAAAUAAUAUGACCCUUUCCUUUUGAAAUGUCCUCUAAUAACUCCAUUAGUUUCGCAGCCAAACCAAGGCAUGGAAAUUCCAGAACAACAGAGAAGUUUGUGCCACUCCCCCCCAGCUAUGGGGACUGUUCUCCCAAUCACAUAACUCGUAACCUCACCAAGGGCCUCUGUAGCCGUGAAAUGCUCUGGCCAGUGGGUGAGGGGCUGUAGGUGGACAGUGUCUGUGGGCAGACCAAGCUAAUGUUGUUGGAGCGGAGCAGGUCACCG